rnacentral:rRNA from 1 species
UACGUAGGGUGCGAGCGUUGUCCGGAAUUACUGGGCGUAAAGAGCUCGUAGGGGGUUUGUCGCGUUGUUCGUGAAAACUCACAGCUUAACUGUGGGCGUGCGGGCGAUACGGGCAGACUGGAGUACUGCAGGGGAGACUGGAAUUCCUGGUGUAGCGGUGGAAUGCGCAGAUAUCAGGAGGAACACCGGUGGCGAAGGCGGGUCUCUGGGCAGUAACUGACGCUGAGGAGCGAAAGCGUGGGGAGCGAGCCGG